rnacentral:rRNA from 1 species
CCGGGAGGCAGCAGUUAGGAAUCUUGGGCAAUGGGCGAAAGCCUGACCCAGCAACGCCGCGUGGGUGACGAAGGCCUUCGGGUCGUAAAGCCCUUUUGCACGGGAAGAUGAUGACGGUACCGUGCGAAUAAGCCCCGGCUAACUACGUGCCAGCAGCCGCGGUAAUACGUAGGGGGCGAGCGUUGUCCGGAUUUAUUGGGCGUAAAAGGCUUGUAGGUGGCCACGCCAAGUCGGAUGUGAAAUCUCCCGGCUCAACUGGGAGGGGUCAUUCGAUACUGGCGGGCUCGAGGCCGGUAGGGGGAAGCGGAAUUCCCGGUGUAGUGGUGGAAUGCGUAGAUAUCGGGAGGAACACCAGUGGCGAAGGCGGCUUCCUGGACCGGUUCUGACACUGAGGAGCGAAAGCGUGGGGAGCGAUCCGGAUUAGAUACCCGGGUAGUCCACGCCGUAAACGGUGGGCACUAGAUGUCGGGGGUAUCGACCCCUCCGGUGUCGCAGCUAACGCAUUAAGUGCCCUGCCUGGGGAGUACGGCCGCAAGGCUA